UGCCGUCCCGCCCCUGCCCCGGAGCGGCCCCGCGCCCCGGCCCGCAGCGGCGGGCGGCGGGGGGCGCCCGCGGGCGGCGGCGGGAGCGCGGGCGCGGGGGUGGCCGAGGAGCGGCGGCGGCGUGAACGCGGCUGCAGAGCCCCAGCGAGCCGCGGGAGCGGGAGCGCCGCGCCCGCCGCAGCCGCCGGAGCCGGGCGAGGAGCAGCCCGGCCGCCCGGAGCCGCCGGGAGAGGGUCGCGGCCGCGGCAGCCCCGCGGGGAGGCAGCCAGGGCCCCUCGGCGAAACGCGACCCCCCGCCCCGCCGCCUCCGCCCGCCCCCAGCGAAGAGAAACAAAACAAAACCCCGGGACCGCCACGCUCUCCCUCCUUCUCCGCUUGGCAUUUGGUGGUGGUUUUUUUUUUUUCUUUUUUUUUCUUUUUUUAUUUUUUUCUUGGGGAUUCUCCUCUCUCCUGCCAGACUGACUUGCACCUUCUUGAUAAUUUCUCUUCCCCUCGUUUUUUUAUACUCUUCUCCCUGCUUUCAAACCCUCUGUCUGUCUGUUUCAAUACUAUCACAACCUCCGCUAAAAAUAGAUCUUUUUAUAUACCCUUCCUCCUCUCUGACCCCAUCCAACACCCCUUGUUAAGUGUAAGGGCUGAAUACUGAACACUUUCUUUGCUGUAUGCACUGAAGAGCCUAAGAUAAGGGUCAAGAGAAGCUACCUUUGAGGUCUCGUUCAUGGCCAUCGACUAGAAAGCUAUGCACAUAAUGCACCAUCUAAUUAACUCCAGAGAGCAGAGCAGUCAUUUUCCCAUCAAAAUUCGCUCAUGAACUUUUGGAGCUGUUUCUUCAUAGUAGCUGAGGUCCCCUGCCAGCAAUUCCAAACAAGCUAUGGGAUGCUAUGUGGCAAAAUCUAGUUCUUUCUCCUGCAUCUGUGAAGAGCCUUGGAGAAGCAGCAGCCAGUGAAGCACUUGUCCUCUUGUUGUUGUGGUUCAGAAGUGCUAGCAGAGCAGCUGAUGAGCCCUCCUGGAGCUAUUCAGAAAGCACAUACUUGCACCAAAGUAUGAGGCAGAGAAUAUUGUUGCCUUUUUUAUAUGAGUAGUUAAAGACAGUAUAUGGAGUAAUGAGUCUCAAACAAAAAAAUAAAAUGGUAGCACUAGAACUUAGAGACGGAUUCCCAGGCCAUACUUUUUAAACUGUCCUUGAUAUAGUGAAUGAAUUUAAGCAAAGGGUCUGGGGGAACAGGUACCAAAUACUAUUAGACUGCGCAGUGACUGCUGGCCUCUUUUGUACUGUAUAUGAAAGUCAUCCAGAGUCUGGCAAAAAAAGAAAGAGGAAUCUCGCUUUCAAGCUUGAUGAUGAAUGGGCAACCAGACUGCCUACUUGUGGAUAAAAAUGAUGGUUUGUUUUCAGAUGAAGGUUUUGGUGUGGUUUCUAUAUGAAAUUCUUCCUCUCUAAGAAAGCUAAGAAGUUCUUUUCUCAGCGUGACUGGCAUUAACAGUCCAAGACAAAGCCUGCACGGUAGUUAUUCCUUGCUAGAACUCUUCAGAAAUUGUAAUUUCCAUUUCCCCAAAAACUAUGACUCCAAUAUUUUCCUUUCCAAAACAGAAACUAAGUGACACUUUGUCACUUUGUCUCUGAAAAAAAGCUGCUGGGAGAAAAAGACUGUAGAGAUAUUAAUAUAAAUAAAUAUUUAAUCUUUUUCUGCUCAUAACUAGCUCUGGUCUUAGUAUGUUUUCGUGGUUAAACCCCAGCUGGUAACUGAGCCCCACACUGCUCUCCCUCCCUCCCUCUGCCAGUGGGGUGGGGGAGAGAAUUGGAAGAGCAAAAGUGAGAAAACUCAAGGGCUGAGAUACAGAUGGUUUAAUAGGUAAAGCAAAACAAGGAAUUCAUUCACCA